rnacentral:lncRNA from 1 species
CAUGUUGGCCAAGAUGAUCUCGAUCUCCUGACCUUGUGAUCCACCAGCCUCGGCCUCCCAAAGUGUUGGGAUUACAGGCAUGAGCCAUUGCACACAGCCAAGAAUGGAGAAUCUUUCCCAGUCCCAAUUUUAGGGGAAAAAGAUUUAAUAUUUCACUACUGAGUAUGAGUCUGUUGACUUUUUAUAUGGAACCCAAAUCAGAUUGAAGAAGUUUCUUUCUCUUCUGAGAUUGCAAAAAGUUUUUGUCAAAGGAAAACAGCCUGUUCAUUUCAUGGAAGGACGUUUUGGAAAAAUAGAUCCAGACCUACAUAGAAAGGUAUGACAGCUACCUUAAUUCAUCCAUCAAGACCUUUCUUCUUAAUUGUGAAUUACCAACUAUAGAUCAUCAGAGAAUUUAAGAAAAUCGACAAACUAAAUGCAAAGAAACAAGCUAAUGAAAUAGAACAAAUGACUAAAGGAAACAGAAGUAAUUCAAUGAACAUAAGAAAACUUAAAAAAUAUUCUAAUUACAUUCUCAGAAAGAUUUGAGUGCACACUACAUACAUUAGAAGAGAAAAAUAAAGGAAAAUCAGACUGCUAUGAAAACCAAGAUUCAUCAUUUCGCAUUUCUGUAACCAUGAAUGAGGGUGUUUGUUUUCUUAGAACUGUCCAUGUGGAACAUCCUGUCAGCCUCAGCUUUUUAACAAUCAGGAAGAAAGUCACACAACCACAUAUUUUCUGAACAUAAGCUGAACUUCUACUUCCAUGGAGUGAGUUACUUCACCUCAUUGGCAAAAGACAACAGAAGAGUCCAAAGUCUGAGGGGACUGGGCAAGCUUCUGUCACAUGCUUUCAGAAUGAAGACAAUCUGCAAGAAUUUUAAGUUGUGACCUCUACAGAGAAAAGAAUGAAAAGUAGCCAAAUCUCCACAUGAGAGAUUUUGGACUAUUUUGCAGUGUAAACCCCAUCUGAUUUAUAUGAAGUAAGCAGACUUUCUCUCCAAGAGUUCAAAAUAAAUUAAUUCUAAUGCUAAA